GGGAUCGCGUUGUUGGAACCUGGGGUCAAGAACUGUGGGUCAGCAACUUUCGUAUGCGACGAGAAACUUUUGAAAUGUUGUGUGUGCGGUUGUCACCAAUGCUCUCUUACAAGGAUACAACAUUUCGCCAGGCAAUCUCAGUGCAGAAGCGCGUUGGAGUUGGACUAUGGUGGCUCGUGACAGAAGCUGGUUAUCGAACACUGGCACACCUGUUUGGCAUAAGUGACGCAUCAGUAUGCCUAAUAGUCCGGGAGUUUUGCCAUGCCAUACGAAAUGAGAUGAUGUGUGAGUACAUCAAGCUGCCAGAAGGUGAGAACAAACCGUACUUCUAGGAUUUAAAAAUCGCUGGGGUUUCCCUCAGUGUGCCGGGGCUAUAGACGGGAGUCAUAUCCCAGUCAUCGCUCCACCUGAGAACCAUGCGGAUUAUUUUAAUCGCAAGGGAUGGCAUUCUGUGAUCUUGCAAGCAGUUGUGGACCACAAAUACUGUUUCACAAACAUCAACAUCGGAUGGCCAGGAAGUGUUCACGACUCCAGGGUUCUUCGUAAUUCUGUUAUCUACGAGAAGGCAGAAAGAGGAGUCCUCUUUCCAAACACCACUGAGGAGAUCCAGGGCACACGAGUGCCUAUCAUGCUGUUGGGGGAUCCAGCCUACCCACUUCGGUCCUGGCUAAUGAAGGGGUACCCGGAAACUGGGAAUCUGACUGAACACCAGCGUCAUUUUAACAAGAGACUAAGCGGGGCUAGAAUGACGGUGGAGUGUGCGUUCGGAAGAUUAAAAGGUCGGUGGAGGUGCCUGUCAAAACGUCUUGAUGUGGACAUAUCACUGGUCCCCACAGUUAUCUCCACAUGCUGCACUCUGCAUAACAUCUGUGAAAAACACAAUGAGGCCUACAGUGAAGAUCCUAGUGCAGCUGGACCUCCUGAUGUACCACCAGGUGAUGUUGACCCGUUGGGCAUUGCAGACAUCCAGCCACUAAGAAUCAGGGAGGCACUGACCCAAUAUUUUGCUCAAGAAUAAAUGUAAACAAUGUAAUAAAAGAUAAGACAACAUUC